GCAAACUUGGUCAUUUAGAGGAAGUAAAAGUCGUAACAAGGUCUCCGUUGGUGAACCAGCGGAGGGAUCAUUACAGAGUGUAAAAACUCCCUAAACCACUGUUAAUUUACCUGUUCGUUGCUUCGGCAGGCGGUCUCCGGGGGGGAUCGUAGCCCGUGAGGGCGCCUGCCGGAGGUUUCAAACUCUUACUGUAACCGUCCUCUGAGCACGCUAUAAAACAAAUCAAAACUUUCAACAACGGAUCUCUUGGUUUGGGCAUCGAUGAAGAACGCAGC
rnacentral:misc_RNA from 1 species